UGUGGGGGUAAGAUAUGGUAUUCACUGAAGACAGGAAACAGAUGUACAAAUAGAUAGCAUAAUACAAUAGCAUGAGUACAAUAGAAUUGUGAUCAAAAUAUGCAAGGUCAUAGGAGGAUCUCACUGUUCCAAGAAAGUUAGGGGAGUCUUCAGACAAAACAUAUUAUUAUUGUUACUGUUAUAGUUAACAGCAGAUAAAAGCUUGUUUUCUUCCAGUGAUCCAUGUAAUGCCACUGAGGCCGUGAUGUACAAAGAAAUGGAGAAUGUUAUUUCUUGGUCCCUUCCUCCUUGGACAGACUCCUGAUACUCUCCUCCUUCUUGGUCUUGAAUCAUUCUUUCUGGGGUUUAUAUUCUUCCCUACUCUUAGACAUACAGACCUCAGCCUAGUCAGCAAGGAGCUUCUUGUGAGUCUUGUCUACUUUAGCUCCAUUUGAACACAUUCCCUUUCACCUUUAGGUACAGGCUGAGAUGUAUGUGGCAGUUCAGCUUCUUAGACUCAUGGUGUCUCUGAGCAGCUAAUGCAGAAUCUGCGUCCUCCUCCUCCAGGAUAACUUCUCUGGUGUUGGAGCUUUGGCUGGACCUUCUCACUUACCUGUGCCCAUAUGCCUGUCCUUCUGAACAACCAAGAUAUUUUUGUGGAAUUGAGCCUACGAAUGCAUAGUCACAGAAUUUCAAAUGAUCAGCCCAUCUUUGAUCAACAUUUGGAUUUGCUGAUCAGAGUUGGUGUUGGCAAUUUCACUGGUCUCAUUGGGAUCCAACCAGACCUUCUUUAUGCCAGGGCAGAGUACACCAGAGGUGCCACUGUUGGUGAGAGACACAAUCAAGAAGGGACAUGAUGGCAGUCAACACACACUGUGUUAGUCAAGGCUUUGAAUUCUGUUGGUAGCUCUUGUGUUCUACUUUGAAUUUCUAAAGCUUUGAUUCUUACAAUCUGCAUUGCAUUGGCUUAUGCAGCAUUCUCUCUUUAGUUCUAGAGCAGAAGGGAGAGGCUGGCAACCUGUAAGUGUGAUGGGUGUAAAUGCUGCCUUACAGGUCCACAUUCUGCACAUUUUUCUUCCAUGCAGGCAAAUCGCACAGUGGAAGUUUUCACAGUUGAUUAUGACAAACGCUCCAUUCAUUCUUCAAAAAGGAAGUGAAAAACUUUAUGAACAUGAAAAUCAAGACCACUGAAUCCAACAGAUGAUUCCCACCUUGUUCGCUGAUUUUGAGUUCUUUCUCCAAACUCAUAUGUGGAAGUGCUAAUCCCUAGUAUCUUGGAAAGUGACUGUACUUGAAGAUAGGGACUUGAAAGAUGUACUUAAGUUAAAGUGAGGGCAUUAGGGUGGCCAGAUCCUAUGUGACCAUGUUCUUAUAACAAGAGGAGAUAAGAACCUAGGGAAAGACACUAGGGAUGCACACAGUGGAAAGGCCAUCUAAGGACACAAUGAGAAAGGAGCCACCUGCAAGUCAAGGGGAGAGGCUUGGACAGACCAUUCCUUGUGAUACUCAGAGUAAAUCAACUCUAUGGGCACCUUGUUUCUGGACGUGUAGCCUCUGGAAUCAUGAGAUAAUCAACUUCUGUCAUUGAAAUUCCUCAGUCUAUAGCAUUUUACAUGGCAGCCCAAGAAAAUAAAUACAUGUGCUUUUGGGGACA
rnacentral:lncRNA from 1 species